CUGCUUUGGUAACACAUGUACUAAAACUGGAACAAUAUUGAAAUUCACAUGGCUCCUGAACAAGGAUGACACUCAAAUUUGUGAAGCAUUCUGUACUUUU
ensembl:snRNA U6 U6 spliceosomal RNA